rnacentral:rRNA from 1 species
UACGUAGGGUGCGAGCGUUGUCCGGAAUUAUUGGGCGUAAAGAGCUUGUAGGCGGUUUGUCGCGUCUGCUGUGAAAAUCCGGGGCUCAACCCCGGACUUGCAGUGGGUACGGGCAGACUAGAGUGUGGUAGGGGAGACUGGAAUUCCUGGUGUAGCGGUGAAAUGCGCAGAUAUCAGGAGGAACACCGAUGGCGAAGGCAGGUCUCUGGGCAUUAACUGACGCUGAGGAGCGAAAGCAUGGGUAGCGAACAGG